rnacentral:rRNA from 1 species
ACGCUCGACACCUACGGGAGCAGCAGUGGGGAAUAUUGCACAAUGGAGGAAACUCUGAUGCAGCGAUGCCGCGUGAGGGAAGAAGGUUUUCGGAUUGUAAACCUCUGUCUUUGGGGACGAUAAUGACGGUACCCAAGGAGGAAGCUCCGGCUAACUACGUGCCAANAGCCGCGGUAAUCUGAGCGGGCGUGGCGAAGGC